UACGAAGGGGGCGAGCGUUGCUCGGAUUGACUGGGCGUAAAGGGCGCGUAGGCGGUUUGCAUAGUCAGACGUGAAAUUCCUGGGCUUAACCUGGGGGCUGCGUUUGAUACAUGCAGGCUUGAGUUCGGAAGAGGGUCGUGGAAUUCCCAGUGUAGAGGUGAAAUUCGUAGAUAUUGGGAAGAACACCGGUGGCGAAGGCGGCGACCUGGUCCGAUACUGACGCUGAGGCGCGAAAGCGUGGGGAGCAAACAGG
rnacentral:rRNA from 1 species